CAAAUCAAAAAUGGUCAGUAUUCGACCAUAGGUCAUUUGGCGCGAUCUUGCUCAGUUAUAAUAUUCUGUCGACCUUGCUUGGGAAACAAGAAAAUCCAUCGGCAACUAACCGAUUUAUUAGCAUUUGACAUUAACAUAUUUUUCACUUCUUCCGGUUUUAGAUUUUCAUUUUACAUCCCUAUGUAGCCGUGUAUUUAGCCGAACUUCCUGAUAGGCGUAAUUCUACGUCAGAAACGAGUAAAUACAGAAAACCACGAGAAAAAAACGCGUAAGUUCCGAAAUCCGGGUAACAAAAAACCGCAUAAAUUCUAAAACACGUGUAACAAAACUGCGUAAACUGCGAAAUCCGCGUAAAAAACGGGUGAAUUCUGAACUCGCAGCUUCGUGCCACCUCGGUUCCUUGUCAUUGUUUAUCAUCUUCGCUGCCUGAUUUAUAAAAAACAAAAAUAUUAUGCCCAACCUAAGCUCUCUAGGAACAUGUUUACACUUGAACUGCAUACGCAGAUAUAAAAUAUCUGAACUUAAUAUUUAAUUUAUUGAAUGACGCUUUCAUUGUUAAUCACCAAACGUGGGAUAUAUUUUUCAAUAGCACUCGUGCGAAAUGGAUGUUGCAAAUCCGGGUCAUACAACUCAUAUUUAGAAUAUGAAAUAUUAUGAUGAGACAUUUUUUUAAUACACCCUUUAUCAAAACGACAUUGCUGCCAAUAGAAAGUUUGACAGUUCACACUCGUUUAUGAUGACGUUGUGUAUGUCUUUGCUUUUAUCUUCAGUUGAAUGAAGUAUUUUUGUUCGCAGCUAGGUAUUUUACAUUUUUAUCAGUUCAAGGGAGUGAAAAUCCAAGCAGCAAAAGAAUAUGCUGAUGCUGACAAGAAUUCUGAUAGAUCAAACCUAAACUUUUAGCAAAAUCGUCAAUAAAGACACAGAGACUGUUAGUAACUCAUCCAAACCAACUGAUCAGAAUGUUUUUUCGUUAUCAGCAGAAUCUAUCAAGCGUCAGGUUAAUUCGAAAUGAACAUGGAUAUGUUGGAUGUGGUUUAAUAUAGGACUGGUUUUGAUUAUUUUUAUCUCCAACUUUCUCUUAACCGUUUUAGUGUACCACAACUGUUCAUGAUGGCCUCAUCGGGAACAUCUUGGAAUCAAGCUUCAAGUGUGGUUAUAACUAAGAACUUUUGUUUUAUUUCUUUUGAGUCCCUUGUUAUUAUAUUGUAAAACAAAAACUAGAAAAGAGUAAAUAUAUUUUUUGAAAUUCCA